UACGUAGGGGGCAAGCGUUGUCCGGAAUCAUUGGGCGUAAAGCGCGUGUAGGCGGCUUGGUAAGUCUGCUCUGAAAGCCCGGGGCUCAACCCCGGGAGGCGGGUGGAUACUGCUGAGCUCGAGUCCGGAAGAGGCGAGUGGAAUUCCUGGUGUAGCGGUGAAAUGCGCAGAUAUCAGGAGGAACACCAGAGGCGAAGGCGGCAACCUGGCUCGUAACUGACGCUCAUACACGACAGCAUGGGGAGCGAACGGG
rnacentral:rRNA from 1 species